UAAUGCACAUCUCUUGUCAUGUAAUGCUAUCAUCUUUGGUUGGUGUUUGUGUUCGGUAGUGUUCGAAAGCAGAACUCGACAAUAUUUUUUGUUUACAUUGGCGACGGCAAGUGAAGUUUUGAUUUCGUCUAUCCGAAAGUCUGCUGUUGACGUAAUGUAUCCCUCUCCUCGUCAUAAACGAUCGUGUAAUUUUCUUGAGGUGCACAGAACUUGCGUUCAAUUGGAAACAACUUCAAAAACACAUAUGGAAAGGUGCUGUGGCCGAGUACACCUGCACCUUAACCUGGGAAGUAGAUAUAUAACCUGAAGGCCCUUAUGUAUUCCACCAAAUGAAAGACUGCAAUUCCAUUUCAGCUCAGUAUUCCCAUAAAGCUGAUUGGUCAACACUACAGAACCUUAUGCAGGAGCCCUGGAUUCGAUUCUCGAAACUGCCAGAGAUUUUUCCUUGGUGAGAGGAAUGAAGCUGGAGUAAACUCAGCCUCGUGAUGCCAAUUGAGUAGCCACCGUAUUGAGAGGUAGCGGCUCCCUGGGCGAAAGUCGAUAACAGUUCGGAGUGUGGUAUGCUGACCCCCUGCCGAUCCCUACCGCAUCCAGUGAUGAAUAACUGAGGAUGACAUGGCAGUUGGUUGAUUGAUGCGUAUAUAUAUAUUUUCAGAAAAGUGUACACCUCUUUCAGUUAUAUGCUCUGUAAUUUAGGGGCGGGGGGGAAAUCAUAUCAUAAGAGGUAAGAGAUAGUAACAACACUAAUUUAUGUUCUUUGAAAUGAAUUAUAUGUUAAUUUUUUGUAUCUGAACAUUGCUGUGAUAUUUUGUGUUUAUUAUUAUUAUUAUACACAUUUGUUCCUCUAAUCACAAGUCUUGUUGUGUUUAUGUUGUUGUGUAAUACUUGUUGUUGUUCAACCUGUACAUCAUUUUUAAAGAAAUAAAACUGUACUUGAAAAUGACUACGAGUAAAACCUACUACUGGGCUUGCAAAGGGUGACACCAUCAAGAUGUAAAGACAACGCAGAUAUUACAUAGGCCGGUUAAUUAAUUUUAAUGGGAAACUGUUAUUUGCUUGAUCUGCUUUUUAACAUUUGGGAAAAAGUUUAGUGCUUGUUCAUGUUUUUCACACAUUUUACACAUAUUUUGACAACAUAUCAAUGUUCUGUAU